AAACGGUACAUGGACUGCAUUAAUACAGCGCUUUUCUAACCAGUGGCCACUCAGAGCAAUUUACAAUAUUUAACAUUUACCCAAUCAUGCACACACCGACGGCGAAGUCAUCCACGCAAGGCGACAGCCAGCUCGUAGGGAGCAAUCAGGGUGAGGCGUCUCGCUCGGGGAUCGAACUAGCAACCUUCCGCCCCCAGUAGAUACCUUCCUGAGCAGGACAGUCCGGACCUCGUCGUCCAAGCACGGGUCGUCCACGAGGGGCUCAAGCUUCACCUCACCGGGGGCCGGGGCCUCAAAAACCUUCGAGAAGCUGCGGACGACAGACGCGUUGAUUACGAGACACACUGGGACGAAGGGCCCACCACCAGAUUCCACUGGCCGAUUGGGAGGCGCCACGCCACGGAG
ensembl:lncRNA